UCAAGUGAAUAAGUGCAUCAGGUGGAUGCCUUGGCGAUGAUAGGCGACGAAGGACGUGUAAGCCUGCGAAAAGCGUGGGGGAGCUGGCAAUAAAGCUAUGAUCCCGCGAUGUCCGAAUGGGGAAACCCACUGCAUUCUGUGCAGUAUCCUAAGUUGAAUACAUAGACUUAGAGAAGCGAACCCGGAGAACUGAACCAUCUAAGUACCCGGAGGAAAAGAAAUCAACCGAGAUUCCGCAAGUAGUGGCGAGCGAACGCGGAGGAGCCUGUACGUAAUAACUGUCGAGAUAGAAGAACAAGCUGGGAAGCUUGACCAUAGUGGGUGAUAGUCCCGUAUUCGAAAUCUCAACAGUGGUACUAAGCGUACGAAAAGUAGGGCGGGACACGUGAAAUCCUGUCUGAAGAUGGGGGGACCAUCCUCCAAGGCUAAAUACUCAUCAUCGACCGAUAGUGAACCAGUACCGUGAGGGAAAGGCGAAAAGAACCCCGGGAGGGGAGUGAAAUAGAACCUGAAACCUGAUGCAUACAAACAGUGGGAGCGGAAUAAUUCCGUGACUGCGUACCUUUUGUAUAAUGGGUCAACGACUUACAUUCAGUAGCGAGCUUAACCGGAUAGGGGAGGCGUAGGGAAACCGAGUCUUAAUAGGGCGAAGAGUUGCUGGGUGUAGACCCGAAACCGAGUGAUCUAUCCAUGGCCAGGUUGAAGGUGCCGUAACAGGUACUGGAGGACCGAACCCACGCAUGUUGCAAAAUGCGGGGAUGAGCUGUGGAUAGGGGUGAAAGGCUAAACAAACUCGGAGAUAGCUGGUUCUCCCCGAAAACUAUUUAGGUAGUGCCUCGAGCAAGACACUGAUGGGGGUAAAGCACUGUUAUGGCUAGGGGGUUAUUGCAACUUACCAACCCAUGGCAAACUAAGAAUACCAUCAAGUGGUUCCUCGGGAGACAGACAGCGGGUGCUAACGUCCGUUGUCAAGAGGGAAACAACCCAGACCGCCAGCUAAGGUCCCAAAUGAUAGAUUAAGUGGUAAACGAAGUGGGAAGGCCCAGACAGCCAGGAUGUUGGCUUAGAAGCAGCCAUCAUUUAAAGAAAGCGUAAUAGCUCACUGGUCGAGUCGUCCUGCGCGGAAGAUGUAACGGGGCUCAAAUCUAUAACCGAAGCUGCGGAUGCACCUAGUGCAUGGUAGGGGAGCGUUCUGUAGGCCUGAGAAGGUGUAUCGUAAGGUAUGCUGGAGGUAUCAGAAGUGCGAAUGUUGACAUGAGUAGCGAUAAAGCGGGUGAAAAGCCCGCUCGCCGAAAGCCCAAGGUUUCCUACGCAACGUUCAUCGGCGUAGGGUGAGUCGGCCCCUAAGGCGAGGCAGAAAUGCGUAGUCGAUGGGAAACAGGUUAAUAUUCCUGUACUUGAUUCAAAUGCGAUGUGGGGACGGAGAAGGUUAGGUUAGCAAGCUGUUGGAAUAGCUUGUUUAAGCCGGUAGGUGGAAGACUUAGGCAAAUCCGGGUCUUCUUAACACCGAGAAGUGACGACGAGUGUCUACGGACAUGAAGUAACCGAUACCACGCUUCCAGGAAAAGCCACUAAGCUUCAGUUUGAAUCGAACCGUACCGCAAACCGACACAGGUGGGCAGGAUGAGAAUUCUAAGGCGCUUGAGAGAACUCGGGAGAAGGAACUCGGCAAAUUGACACCGUAACUUCGGAAGAAGGUGUGCCUUGGUAGCUUGAGUGUGAACAACACAAGGGCAAAGAGGUUGCAAAGAAUAGGUGGCUGCGACUGUUUAUUAAAAACACAGCACUCUGCAAACACGAAAGUGGACGUAUAGGGUGUGAUGCCUGCCCGGUGCUGGAAGGUUAAUUGAUGGUGUAAUCGAAAGAGAAGCUCCUGAUCGAAGCCCCAGUAAACGGCGGCCGUAACUAUAACGGUCCUAAGGUAGCGAAAUUCCUUGUCGGGUAAGUUCCGACCCGCACGAAUGGCGUAACGAUGGCCACACUGUCUCCUCCCGAGACUCAGCGAAGUUGAAAUGGUUGUGAAGAUGCAAUCUCCCCGCUGCUAGACGGAAAGACCCCGUGAACCUUUACUGUAGCUUUGCAUUGGACUUUGAAGUCACUUGUGUAGGAUAGGUGGGAGGCUUAGAAGCAGAGACGCCAGUCUCUGUGGAGCCGUCCUUGAAAUACCACCCUGGUGUCUUUGAGGUUCUAACCCAGACCCGUAAUCCGGGUCGGGGACCGUGCAUGGUAGGCAGUUUGACUGGGGCGGUCUCCUCCCAAAGAGUAACGGAGGAGUUCGAAGGUUACCUAGGUCCGGUCGGAAAUCGGACUGAUAGUGCAAUGGCAAAAGGUAGCUUAACUGCGAGACCGACAAGUCGAGCAGGUGCGAAAGCAGGACAUAGUGAUCCGGUGGUUCUGUAUGGAAGGGCCAUCGCUCAACGGAUAAAAGGUACUCCGGGGAUAACAGGCUGAUUCCGCCCAAGAGUUCAUAUCGACGGCGGAGUUUGGCACCUCGAUGUCGGCUCAUCACAUCCUGGGGCUGUAGUCGGUCCCAAGGGUAUGGCUGUUCGCCAUUUAAAGUGGUACGUGAGCUGGGUUUAAAACGUCGUGAGACAGUUUGGUCCCUAUCUGCAGUGGGCGUUGGAAGUUUGACGGGGGCUGCUCCUAGUACGAGAGGACCGGAGUGGACGAACCUCUGGUGUACCGGUUGUCACGCCAGUGGCAUCGCCGGGUAGCUAAGUUCGGAAGAGAUAAGCGCUGAAAGCAUCUAAGCGCGAAACUCGCCUGAAGAUGAGACUUCCCUUGCGGUUUAACCGCACUAAAGAGUCGUUCGAGACCAGGACGUUGAUAGGUGGGGUGUGGAAGCGCGGUAACGCGUGAAGCUAACCCAUACUAAUUGCUCGUGAGGCUUGACUCU
rnacentral:rRNA from 1 species